rnacentral:rRNA from 1 species
GUGGGGAAUUGUUCGCAAUGGGCGCAAGCCUGACGACGCAACGCCGCGUGGAGGAUGAAGAUCUUCGGGUCGUAAACUCCUGUCGAACGGGACGAAUGGCCUGGCCGUGAACAACGGCCGGGAAUGACGGUACCGUGAGAGGAAGCCCCGGCUAACUCCGUGCCAGCAGCCGCGGUAAUACGGGGGGGGCGAGCGUUGUUCGGAAUUAUUGGGCGUAAAGGGCUCGUAGGCGGCCUGCUAAGUCGAACGUGAAAUCCCUCGGCUCAACCGGGGAACUGCGUUCGAGACUGGCGGGCUCGAAUCCGGGAGAGGGAUGUGGAAUUCCAGGUGUAGCGGUGAAAUGCGUAGAUAUCUGGAGGAACACCGGUGGCGAAGGCGGCAUCCUGGACCGGUAUUGACGCUGAGGAGCGAAAGCCAGGGGAGCAAACGGGAUUAGAUACCCUUGUAGUCC